AAACGCUCCAACUGACCAUUUCACACGAACUUUUAUCGCUGGGUAAUUUUGCGAUUUUUCAUCCAAUUCAAUCAUAUAUAUGCUCAAAAUCUUCGCAGUAAGUUUCUCUUUAGUCUCUUUACCAUAAAAUUUGACCGAAUGAGUUUCGAAACAAUGCGACGGCAAAAAAUGCAAAAAUCCUUAUUUUCGUAAUAGAAUCUAUAGUCUUUUUUGCCCUGUUGUACCGCCAUCUUGGAUUUAUCAUGUAGGCCCCGCCUGCGCUAGGUAUGCGUUACCAAUCUAGAUCUCCUAUAUCUAUGGUCACAUCUUGGGCAGAGGCUAGCGGUUACUUUCAUCUUUUUUACCUUCUAGCGCAAUUACGAAAUUCUUUCUAAAUUAAUCUUUAAAAGCCUCUGCGAAGGAGAGAGGUAUUGCUAUAUACGAUUCCAUAGCUAAUAAAAUAGAUCGAUUGCAGGAGAAGAAGACGCAUUUUAGGAUGUGAUUUGACGGGACCAAUAACCGGGUAAAAAUGGCGCUUAUGCAAUUGCAAUUUUUCAACAGCUGAUUGCUCUUAAAGGUUUUGAAAUGUCUUUGAAAAUAGGCUGAAAAAGUCUUUGAAAGUUUGUGAAUUUUUUGGUUUUCGAGAUUACGAACCCUGCAUGCUCAUAGUGUUGUGUAUUGUAUUACUCUUAGUAGGAACUAAUUCAAAAAUUAGCGAUGAUUUAUUGAUCGUGAGUGCAUGAUUUCGUGGUAGUGGGCAAGUAGUAACAGGGUAAUAUUAAAAGUAACAUUUGUAUCCAACCAUUAAUAGUUUAAAAAUCAAAAGAAAUCAAUGUUUAAUGUGGUGUUGUAUCCACAUAUACAAAACUCUCCUGACUUGCAUAACGUUUGCCUCGAUUUUCUCAGUUAAAAUCACUUCGUUUUAAAUAAUUUCUUAAAACACAACUGUUGAAAUCUUUACGUUUUCCAAGCUAUCUGCGGCAUUUGCGCAACCUUUCGCAUUUAGCACGAGUUUGUAUAUAUCUGGUACAACACGGCCGCUCAUGCUGUAUAUAUUACUUAAAGCGCGGCUAGGAGCAAUUAUUGACAUCUUGUAAAAGUACUUCAUGAUUAAAUAGUGUGUAAGAUAUAUAGUGUUAUAUAUCCCUUAAGUUUCCGUUAUAAAUUAACUGUAAUGAUAUAUUUGUCGAGUGUUGUCGUAAUAUUAGUAAUUUAUGUAUGUGAUAAUGUAGCACGGCCUGGAAAACCACUUUUUGUAAACACUUUUAAACCGUGGGUAAAUAAAGUUUUCAGCACUGUGUCUGUGAAAUAUUUAAUAGCCAAAAUUUCUCGCACAAGAUGGCGUUUCUGGAAAACCGAAUGAUAAUGUACAUAUAAAUGACGUGAGUAAAAGUUUUGGACAAUUGAACGUUACCUGUCACGCGGUUUUUAGGCUAUCACGUUACGAGACAUAAAUCCUCUGUUUUUUUACAUACGUUAGAUUAAUUACAACUAUUUUGUCAACAAGACCCUGAAGCACAAACAAAUGAAGCUGACACAACUUAUUAAGAGC